CAGAAGAAUUGGGGAUCUCGAGAGGGAAUUUUGCAGUUGUGGCCAUUUUAAAAAUAGACCUCUGUGAAAUCUAUGUAUUCCUGAUACUAUUAUAUCAUGCUGCAUUUCCUGUGAUAUAUCAAAUAUCUAUCAUUUGUCCUAAACAAGAGGCCUUACAUUUAUACUGAGCAUUACUAAUUUGGUCAGUAUAUAAUAUUGCAAUGCUUAUAACCCUUUGGUCAGUGGCCCAUCUGAAUUGAGAUGCAUCAUAGUUAUCUUAAUACUAUUUGUUCUGUUUCUUACUCAUUGAUCCAUCCCACACAACAAGUAUUCUUCCUGAGAAGUAUGCUCAGAUAGUUGAAUAUAUUGUUUUGUACUUAAUUGUUGAAAGAUGGAUUUGUAUUACUAAUGCUGAGAUGGGCAUUACAAUUUUCUUUCAAGGGAACAGACCAAACCAAACUGCGACCUUAUUUGUCAAUAUUUGAAAUUUAUAUUAUGUCUCUUAUGUGAUCUCAGAGAACUUAAUUUUUGUGUGGGGACCUCAAGCUACCUUUAGUGACUUACAAGCUAUAUCAACCAACAAGAGUUUUCCCUGCUUUUGGAGCCUGCUAAGCUAUCAACAAACAAAGAGGUACUAUGCUGAGACUGAAGAGGAUGCUAGCCAGCGGCCCACCUCUCUUGCCGUCACCGCUGAGCCGCCAUGUCUCCUUCAGAGGCUUAUUGUAUUGCUACAUGUUUAUGCUUCUUAUCCACUCACCCAUUGUAGUGUAGGUCUGUUGCGGCAAUUGAAUGCUUCAAAGGAUUUUAAUGGAGUUCAUUGUAGCUGAGUCGCAAAUCUCCAGCUUGCUUUCAUGUCUUUUCUCACUAGAGACAUCACCUGCCGGCGACGGCGAUGACCGCUACCCUGCUCCUCUCCCGGCAAAGGCAUGGCUACCUCUCCUGUGAAGUUAAGGCCAUCUUUGCCUCUUCCUUCAGUUUUUCCUCUGUUUUUUGUUACACGACUUUGUGGUGCUUAGUGUAUAUAUCAUUCCCCCCUGUCCAUUAAUUGAACAACUCUGCUACAUGUGAUUGCAUUAGCAAACUCCAUUUUUGUGUAUGUAGAAAAACAAAGGAAACUCCAUUUUUGUGUAUGUGGAAAAAACAAAGGAAACUGCAUUUUUGUGUAAUUACAAACAAAUGAAACUCCAUUUUUUUGUAAUUACAAACAAGAGACUUUUAGACGGCGAAGACUGCUGCCCUGAUCCUAAGAGCCUACUGACAUUUCACCAAAUCUUGUUAUAAUUUUUUUUAUCAGCAGCAGAUACUUUUAAAUUUGUCUUUACAAUUCCAAGUACAUGAUCAUACUGAUCCUUCUUUUUUUGAUGUAGCAGAACAAACGUUCGUAAUUUAUACACCUAGGCUCAGCUUCUCUAUAUUGAUACGAAGGCCUGGAGCAUGUUUCUUUUGUUUUCAACU